rnacentral:lncRNA from 1 species
ACAGUCAGGAAAAUGAAGCUGAACAUCAAGUCCCAGCAAGAAAAGAAGGAAAAGGAAUGCCAAGCAGUCAUGUUAGCAGUUUGAAGGGGCUGGAGCAAGAUGGAAUCAGGAAUAAGGAGUCAGUGGGACCAUGUACAACACUGGAAGACACGUAUCCCUUCGCCUGGACAAGGAGCACUUGGUCAACAUAUCUGGAGGGCCCAUGACAUACAGCCACCGGCUGGAGGAGAUCCGACUACACUUUGGGAGUGAGGACAGCCAAGGGUCGGAGCACCUCCUCAAUGGACAGGCCUUCUCUGGGGAGGUGCAGCUCAUCCACUAUAACCAUGAGCUAUAUACGAAUGUCACAGAAGCUGCAAAGAGUCCAAAUGGAUUGGUGGUAGUUUCUAUAUUUAUAAAAGUUUCUGAUUCAUCAAACCCAUUUCUUAAUCGAAUGCUCAACAGAGAUACUAUCACAAGAAUAACAUAUAAAAAUGAUGCAUAUUUACUACAGGGGCUUAAUAUAGAGGAACUAUAUCCAGAGACCUCUAGUUUCAUCACUUACGAUGGGUCGAUGACUAUCCCACCCUGCUAUGAGACAGCAAGUUGGAUCAUAAUGAACAAACCUGUCUAUAUAACCAGGAUGCAG